rnacentral:rRNA from 1 species
AUACGUAGGUGGCAAGCGUUGGCCGGAAUUAUUGGGCGUAAAGCGCAUGUAGGCGGCGCGGUAAGUCUGGAGCGAAAGUCCUGCUUUCAAGGUGGGAAUUGCUUUGGAUACUGCCGCUCUGGAGUGCAGGAGAGGUUAUCGGAAUUCCCGGUGUAGCGGUGAAAGGAGUAUAGAUCGGGAGGAAGUGCAGUGGCGUAGGCGGGUAACUGGACUGCAACUGACGCUGAGGCGCGAAAGUGUGGAGAGCAAACAGGAUUAGAUACCCUGGUAGUCCACACUGUAAACGAUGAAUGCUAGGUGUAAGAGGUAUCGACCCCUUUUGUGCCGGAGUCAACACAAUAAGCAUUCCGCCUGGGGAGUACGGCCGCAAGGUUGAAACUCAAAGGAAUCGACGGGG